rnacentral:rRNA from 1 species
GGGUUGUGAGGUUAAGCGACUAAGCGUACACGGUGGAUGCCCUGGCAGUCAGAGGCGAUGAAGGACGUGCUAAUCUGCGAUAAGCGUCGGUAAGGUGAUAUGAACCGUUAUAACCGGCGAUUUCCGAAUGGGGAAACCCAGUGUGUUUCGACACACUAUCAUUAACUGAAUCCAUAGGUUAAUGAGGCGAACCGGGGGAACUGAAACAUCUAAGUACCCCGAGGAAAAGAAAUCAACCGAGAUUCCCCCAGUAGCGGCGAGCGAACGGGGAGCAGCCCAGAGCCUGAAUCAGUGUGUGUGUUAGUGGAAGCGUCUGGAAAGGCGCGCGAUACAGGGUGACAGCCCCGUACACAAAAAUGCACAUACUGUGAGCUCGAUGAGUAGGGCGGGACACGUGGUAUCCUGUCUGAAUAUGGGGGGACCAUCCUCCAAGGCUAAAUACUCCUGACUGACCGAUAGUGAACCAGUACCGUGAGGGAAAGGCGAAAAGAACCCCGGCGAGGGGAGUGAAAAAGAACCUGAAACCGUGUACGUACAAGCAGUGGGAGCACGCUUAGGCGUGUGACUGCGUACCUUUUGUAUAAUGGGUCAGCGACUUAUAUUCUGUAGCAAGGUUAACCGAAUAGGGGAGCCGAAGGGAAACCGAGUCUUAACUGGGCGUUAAGUUGCAGGGUAUAGACCCGAAACCCGGUGAUCUAGCCAUGGGCAGGUUGAAGGUUGGGUAACACUAACUGGAGGACCGAACCGACUAAUGUUGAAAAAUUAGCGGAUGACUUGUGGCUGGGGGUGAAAGGCCAAUCAAACCGGGAGAUAGCUGGUUCUCCCCGAAAGCUAUUUAGGUAGCGCCUCGUGAAUUCAUCUCCGGGGGUAGAGCACUGUUUCGGCAAGGGGGUCAUCCCGACUUACCAACCCGAUGCAAACUGCGAAUACCGGAGAAUGUUAUCACGGGAGACACACGGCGGGUGCUAACGUCCGUCGUGAAGAGGGAAACAACCCAGACCGCCAGCUAAGGUCCCAAAGUCAUGGUUAAGUGGGAAACGAUGUGGGAAGGCCCAGACAGCCAGGAUGUUGGCUUAGAAGCAGCCAUCAUUUAAAGAAAGCGUAAUAGCUCACUGGUCGAGUCGGCCUGCGCGGAAGAUGUAACGGGGCUAAACCAUGCACCGAAGCUGCGGCAGCGACGCUGAUGCGUUGUUGGGUAGGGGAGCGUUCUGUAAGCCUGCGAAGGUGUGCUGUGAGGCAUGCUGGAGGUAUCAGAAGUGCGAAUGCUGACAUAAGUAACGAUAAAGCGGGUGAAAAGCCCGCUCGCCGGAAGACCAAGGGUUCCUGUCCAACGUUAAUCGGGGCAGGGUGAGUCGACCCCUAAGGCGAGGCCGAAAGGCGUAGUCGAUGGGAAACAGGUUAAUAUUCCUGUACUUGGUGUUACUGCGAAGGGGGGACGGAGAAGGCUAUGUUGGCCGGGCGACGGUUGUCCCGGUUUAAGCGUGUAGGCUGGUUUUCCAGGCAAAUCCGGAAAAUCAAGGCUGAGGCGUGAUGACGAGGCACUACGGUGCUGAAGCAACAAAUGCCCUGCUUCCAGGAAAAGCCUCUAAGCAUCAGGUAACAUCAAAUCGUACCCCAAACCGACACAGGUGGUCAGGUAGAGAAUACCAAGGCGCUUGAGAGAACUCGGGUGAAGGAACUAGGCAAAAUGGUGCCGUAACUUCGGGAGAAGGCACGCUGAUAUGUAGGUGAAGUCCCUCGCGGAUGGAGCUGAAAUCAGUCGAAGAUACCAGCUGGCUGCAACUGUUUAUUAAAAACACAGCACUGUGCAAACACGAAAGUGGACGUAUACGGUGUGACGCCUGCCCGGUGCCGGAAGGUUAAUUGAUGGGGUCAGCGCAAGCGAAGCUCUUGAUCGAAGCCCCGGUAAACGGCGGCCGUAACUAUAACGGUCCUAAGGUAGCGAAAUUCCUUGUCGGGUAAGUUCCGACCUGCACGAAUGGCGUAAUGAUGGCCAGGCUGUCUCCACCCGAGACUCAGUGAAAUUGAACUCGCUGUGAAGAUGCAGUGUACCCGCGGCAAGACGGAAAGACCCCGUGAACCUUUACUAUAGCUUGACACUGAACAUUGAGCCUUGAUGUGUAGGAUAGGUGGGAGGCUUUGAAGUGUGGACGCCAGUCUGCAUGGAGCCGACCUUGAAAUACCACCCUUUAAUGUUUGAUGUUCUAACGUUGACCCGUAAUCCGGGUUGCGGACAGUGUCUGGUGGGUAGUUUGACUGGGGCGGUCUCCUCCUAAAGAGUAACGGAGGAGCACGAAGGUUGGCUAAUCCUGGUCGGACAUCAGGAGGUUAGUGCAAUGGCAUAAGCCAGCUUGACUGCGAGCGUGACGGCGCGAGCAGGUGCGAAAGCAGGUCAUAGUGAUCCGGUGGUUCUGAAUGGAAGGGCCAUCGCUCAACGGAUAAAAGGUACUCCGGGGAUAACAGGCUGAUACCGCCCAAGAGUUCAUAUCGACGGCGGUGUUUGGCACCUCGAUGUCGGCUCAUCACAUCCUGGGGCUGAAGUAGGUCCCAAGGGUAUGGCUGUUCGCCAUUUAAAGUGGUACGCGAGCUGGGUUUAGAACGUCGUGAGACAGUUCGGUCCCUAUCUGCCGUGGGCGCUGGAGAACUGAGGGGGGCUGCUCCUAGUACGAGAGGACCGGAGUGGACGCAUCACUGGUGUUCGGGUUGUCAUGCCAAUGGCACUGCCCGGUAGCUAAAUGCGGAAGAGAUAAGUGCUGAAAGCAUCUAAGCACGAAACUUGCCCCGAGAUGAGUUCUCCCUGACUCCUUGAGAGUCCUGAAGGAACGUUGAAGACGACGACGUUGAUAGGCCGGGUGUGUAAGCGCAGCGAUGCGUUGAGCUAACCGGUACUAAUGAACCGUGAGGCUUAACCUUACAACGCCGAAGGUGUUU